GUUUGUAGCUCAGCGGUAGAGUGCUUGCCUAGCACAUGUGAGGUCUUGGGUUCAAUCCUCAACGAAAAAUA
rnacentral:tRNA from 1 species